rnacentral:lncRNA from 1 species
AUGUGGACAGCAGGGCUGGAAUCCGCCAAGUGGUUCAAGAUGUCAGGAGGCUUAGGGAGGGACGCGGGCGGCAUUUCCUGUGCUCGCUUUGAAGAUGUGGGAACAAAGGCGGGAUCGUGGGCGUGGGUAGAGGGGCCCAGGCCUGUCUGGCCUCUGAGCCUGGAUGGGCAAGGCUGGGGGCCUGCAGCGGGGAAUGCCAGUCUGCGGGGCCCGUGGGCCCAGACAGGACCCCGCUCCCUCCUGGCAGGCCGAGGGCCCUGCUGCAGUGAUGACCGCCCUGGGGUGCCCUCCUGGGGCUGUGGGUUGGAGGUUGGCUUCCCAGACCUGCCGACUGUGCUCAGGUCUCCCCUGGAGCCUGUCAGUUACUGCGGCUCCCCUCCGCCUGCCCCGCCUUCCCCGGAGGGCGCUGACCCCAGGUCAUGUGCUGAACCCUCCACGGCGCCUGAUGGGCCACUUUCCCAGCUGCAUGGGGCAGGGAGGGGCUGCCAGGAGAGGGGCCCUCGGAAGUCCUUGCAGCAGCUGCCCUCACGCUGCCCAGUUCCCCAAACCCGCCUCGUGCCAGGCGCUGUUAGCAUCACACGUGUGGCCCCGUCUUCUCUGAGCUGUUGCUGUCACUCAGGUGGGGUUCCUCCCCGUGGGACCCUGGCCCGUGCACUCACUCGGCAGGAAGGUGCCAUUGAAAGAGACAGUGCUGUGGCCAGGUUCAUCAGAGCGUGGAGCCGAAAGACAGCUUCACCCUUGGACGGCAAGGUUUGCGUUGCAGAGCUGACCUCCUGGCAGGGAGCGACUGAGUGGCGAAGCAAGAACGGCACGUGAGAAGCCUCCCAAGCCCUUCCUCUCCCUUGUCUCGGAGGACUGGUGAAGACACACCUGAGUGCAGCACGCAGACUCGCAGCUCCUGGGCCGGCGGGCUGCUCCGGCGGGCCUGGCGCCGCCGUCUCUGCUGGCUGCUGGUUUGUGGGCUCAGCAGUUGCUGUCUUUGCUGUGGACUGCAGCGGCGUCUGGGGCGAGCAAAUUAUCCCUGAACUUCAGACGCUGCGCAUACGUUUUCAUGGGCAGGGUAUUUUAGUGAGCUUUUCCCUGAAGAAUAACAUGUAUGCAGACAAGGUCACAGAUUAUCAACUUGCAGCCUGACGCAUUUGAGAAGCGAGCACACCCAUGGAACCACGCCCAGACGAAGGCACCGAACAGACUCCCACCAGCCCUCGGUGCCCCUCCCUUAUCCUCCCCCGCCAAAGGCUACCACUCUCUGACUUCCGUCACCAUCAGUGGGUUUUGUCUGGGUUUGUGUUUUACCUAAACGAAUUCAUACGGUGCCAGCUCUUUCGUGUGUGGUUCUUUUGCUCCAAUUGUAUUUGUGAAGUUCCUCCAGGUUACGACAGGCAGAGGUCUAUCCUUUCUUCACUGCUGUCCCCCUGGAUGACUAUAGAAUUGUUUGAAAGUAUUUCUCUGCAGUGUUGUCAGCGGACGAUUAUGUUGAGAGUUCAGGGCCGUGAUGAAUGCCCUUGCCGUGCCUCGGUGCCAGUGUCCUUUUGUGAACAUAUGCAAGCAUUUCUGGGAAAGGAAUCACAGGGACGCAGCAUUUCCAACUUUGGAAAAUACCAUCUACCGGCUUUCUAAACUACAGUACCAAUUCACACUUCAGGGAAAGCAUAUGAGCACUCCCCUUGCUCAGCAUUCAUGAGAACCUUUUCGUCUGAGCCAUUCUGGUGAUCAUCGGGGUUUAAAUUUGCAUUUCCAUGAUGACUAAGGAUAUGGAGCACUUUUCUCCACGUGUUUAUUUGCUGUUCUCUGAGUGCCUUUUUGAGUCUUUUGCCCGUUUAAAAAAUGAGCUGUCUCUGCACAUAGAUGUUUAUAGCAGCUUUAUUCAUAAUUGCCAAGACUGGAAGCAACCAAGAUGUCCUUCAGUGCUGGAUAAAUGAACCAUGACACAUCCAGACAGUGGAAUAUUACUCAGCACUAAAAAGAAAUGAGCCUUCAAGCUGUGAAAAGACACGGAGGAGGCCUGAAUGCAUGUGCCUGAGUGAGAGGAGAAGCCAGUUUGGAAAGGCUCCCUGUGGGCUUUUUCCAUCUCGAUGGCAUUCUGAAAAGGCACAACUGUGGAGAGAGUAGGAAGAGCCGUGGUUGUCAGGGGCCAGGGCUGGGAGGCGGGACUGGGUGGCGCUCGGGAUUUUGGGGUGAGCUGACGUGGUGCGAGGCUGUCAUGGUGGAGAGCCUGUGCUCUGGCCUUUGAGGAGGGCUGAGCACCCCGGGAGAGGUGGCAAGGAGGUGGCCUUGUACCCUGCAGCUCUGGUGCCUGGCGUGGUAAUUGAGACACUGCAAUCGUGAGGCAUGAGGCCGUCUGCACUCCUGUGAGCAGAGUGGGCUGGACCGUGUGUGUCCAGGACCCCUGCCCCGGAUGCAGAGAGGACUCCAUUCGCCUGCUGUGUGAGUGGCUGGUUGAGCUCUCGGUUGCCCAGCAUCACCCCUCUGCACCUGAAACUGGCCCCCUACCUCUCCUGGCUUCGCUGUCCCCCCCGGGUUGGCUGCAAGCUGGGUCAGCUUCCUGGAGCUGGGGCGGGGGGCAGCCGAGGACCUGGCAUCCAGAGGGUGCUUCCCCAAAGGAUGUUCGCUUCUGAGCCCUGGCCGUACCCUGUGGACAAGUCACACAGCCAGCCAGCCAUGUCUUCUCACUCUUGCGCAGAAGCCAGGCCACAUGGGAGCUGCAGCUCCAAGGCCCUCCAGAGGGCACACCGCUCGCCAGCCGCUCGCGGGUAAAAAUCUGGCCCCCUUGUCUAUGUGAUGCUCUCCCUCCUCAAGGCCCACCCCUGCAGGCGACCCCUCCCCGCUGCACCAGGCUCAGCUCUGUCCGGCAUCACCUCCGCUUGGUGGUGUCCUGGGGGGCAGCACCGUGCCCUCCCACUUGGCACCAGACCUCAAACGUCUGAGCAGCACUGAUUGAGUGAAAAGGGAAGGAAGUGUCCCCAGAUCCUGAAGAAGACUAGGCACCGGAUGGAAGAAGGCGUUAGUAGCAUAUAGAACGGAGGAGGCUUUGGGUCCAGAAUAUGUAAAGAGCGCUCUCCAAGCAAUCACAAAACAGCAGGCGACAGGCCAGGAAAGCAGGCAGAGCCCUGGCCGGCAGUUCAGAGAGAGGAUGCCAAACGGCCAUGAGCCUCACAGAAACGUGCCUGGUCUCAUAGCAAACAGGGAGGUGUGUGUGAGCCACGGUGAACCCAGACGCAGUGGCGGGUGGGCAAAGAGGCCCCACAGACGAGGCCGGCGGUGGGAGGAGGGGAGCCUGCAGACGCUGAGUGCAAACUUGGGGGAGCCGCUCUGGGAGGCGUUCUAACAGCGUGGAGUCCGCCCCCACCCCCGUGCACCCCCGAGCCGUCAAGGCGUAGGUAGUGGCACCAGGACACGCGGCAUUAGUGGUCAUGCUGGCCUUGCUCCGGAGCGCCGGGGACUGGGAAGCACCAGAUGGCCGUUAGGGUGGAAUCAGAAACGCGGGGCCCAGGCGUCGCUGCACGGAGGAGACGGGCUGUGUCCACAGCCGCGGCCCAGGUGCCCAGGAGGCAGGCGCGGGCCCCUCCGUCUGCCCCCCUGUCCUGGGCUGGGGGGUGCUCUGCGGCUUCUCCGGGCUCACGAACAGUGGGGAAACCGAGUCUUCCUUCCAAGGCAGCGAGAGCACAGGAUUCCCAAGGUCCAGGAAAGCGAGCUCAGCCCAGCAGCAUCACCCCUGCGGUCGUUCACGUUUGGUUUGCAAAUAUCAUUUUACAUUUAAAUGAGUUUGAAUAGUACAAUAAACCUGAUUUAAGUA